GUGGGGAAUAUUCCGCAAUGGACGAAAGUCUGACGGAGCAACGCCGCGUGAGUGAUGAAGGUUUUCGGACUGUAAAGCUCUGUUGUUUAGGACGAAAGUGCCUGUUGCGAACAGUUACAGGUAUUGACGGUACUAAACGAGGAAGCCACGGCUAACUACGUGCCAGCAGCCGCGGUAAUACGUAGGUGGCAAGCGUUGUCCGGAAUUAUUGGGCGUAAAGAGCAUGUAGGCGGAGAUUUAAGUCUGUUGUGAAAAUGCGGGGCUCAACCCCGUAUUGCGAUGGAAACUGAAUUUCUUGAGUGCAGGAGAGGAAAGGGGAAUUCCCAGUGUAGCGGUGAAAUGCGUAGAUAUUGGGAGGAACACCAGUGGCGAAGGCGAGUCUCUGGACAAGACCUGACGCUGAGGCACGAAGGCCAGGGGAUCAAACGGGAUUAGAAACCCUGGUAGUCC
rnacentral:rRNA from 1 species